rnacentral:rRNA from 1 species
UACGUAGGUGGCGAGCGUUGUCCGGAUUUACUGGGCGUAAAGCGCGCGCAGGCGGUUCGUUAAGUCCGGUGUGAAAGCUCCCGGCUCAACUGGGAGAGGUCAUUGGAUACUGGCGGACUCGAGGGAUGCAGAGGAAGGUGGAAUUCCCGGUGUAGUGGUGAAAUGCGUAGAGAUCGGGAGGAACACCAGUGGCGAAGGCGGCCUUCUGGGCAUUUCCUGACGCUGAGGCGGCGAAAGCGGUGGGGAGCGAACCGGGAUUAGAUAACCCCG